rnacentral:rRNA from 1 species
AACGAACGCUGGCGGCAUGCCUAACACAUGCAAGUCGAACGAGACCUUCGGGUCUAGUGGCGCACGGGUGCGUAACGCGUGGGAACCUGCCCUUAGGUUCGGAAUAACUCCCCGAAAGGGGUGCUAAUACCGGAUAAUGUCUUCGGACCAAAGAUUAUCGCCUUUGGAUGGGCCCGCGUUGGAUUAGCUAGUUGGUAGGGUAAAAGCCUACCAAGGCGACGAUCCAUAGCUGGUCUGAGAGGAGGAUCAGCCACACUGGGACUGAGACACGGCCCAGACUCCUACGGGAGGCAGCAGUGGGGAAUAUUGGACAAUGGGCGAAAGCCUGAUCCAGCAAUGCCGCGUGAGUGAUGAAGGCCUUAGGGUUGUAAAGCUCUUUUACCCGGGAGGAUAAUGACAGUACCGGGAGAAUAAGCUCCGGCUAACUCCGUG